GGAUCAUUAAAGAGUUUAAUAAAACUCCUAAACCCCUGUGAACUCACUAUGUUGGAUUCUCGCCAGAGAUAGUCUGGUUUCUGCCACGCAGAUCGACUGCCUGCCCGUGACACCUGUCACAGGUAGGUAAGCUUUUGCCGCGGGUCCGCAUGUAAAUCGUCUGUUUCACAAGGGACGGCGAUUUACCUGUGGAAGAGGUCCGCUAACUAUAUUCUUAGUAUAGUUUGUUCACUAGAUCAAACAUUCUGAAUAAAAACUUAAACUAGUUAAAACUUUCAACAACGGAUCUCUUGGUUCUGGCAUCGAUGAAGAACGCAGCGAAAUGCGAUAAGUAAUGUGAAUUGCAGAAUUCAGUGAAUCAUCGAAUCUUUGAACGCACAUUGCGCCCAUUAGUAUUCUAGUGGGCAUGCCUGUUCGAGCGUCAUUUCAACCCUUAAGCCUCUGUUGCUUAGCGUUGGGAGCCUACAGCCUGCUGUAGCUCCUUAAAGGUAGUGGCGGAGUCGGUUCACACUCUAGACGUAGUAAAAUCUUUAUCUCGCCUAUAGAUGAGCCGGCGCCUUGCCGUAAAACCCCUAAUCUUUCACAAGGUUGACCUCGGAUCAGGUAGGAAUACCCGCUGAACUUAAGCAUAUCAAUAAGCGGAGGAAAAGAAACCAACAGGGAUUGCCCUAGUAACGGCGAGUGAAGCGGCAACAGCUCAAAUUUGAAAUCUGGCCUUCGGGUCCGAGUUGUAAUUUGCAGAGGAUGCUUUGGGCGCGGUGCCUUCCGAGUUCCCUGGAACGGGACGCCUUAGAGGGUGAGAGCCCCGUACGGUUGGACACCAAGCCUCUGUAAAGCUCCUUCGACGAGUCGAGUAGUUUGGGAAUGCUGCUCUAAAUGGGAGGUAAAUUUCUUCUAAAGCUAAAUAUUGGCCAGAGACCGAUAGCGCACAAGUAGAGUGAUCGAAAGAUGAAAAGCACUUUGAAAAGAGGGUUAAAUAGCACGUGAAAUUGUUGAAAGGGAAGCGUUUGCGACCAGACCUUUUCCCAGCGGAUCAUCCGGUGUUCUCACCGGUGCACUUCGCUGGGUUGAGGCCAGCAUCGGUUUCCGCAGGGGGAUAAAAGCCUGGGGAACGUAGCUCCCUCGGGAGUGUUAUAGCCCCUCGCAUAAUACCCUUGCGGGGACCGAGGACCGCG
rnacentral:rRNA from 1 species